rnacentral:rRNA from 1 species
AUUGAACGCUGGCGGCAUGCCUUACACAUGCAAGUCGAACGGUAACAGGUCUUCGGAUGCUGACGAGUGGCGAACGGGUGAGUAAUACAUCGGAACGUGCCUAGUAGUGGGGGAUAACUACUCGAAAGAGUGGCUAAUACCGCAUGAGAUCUACGGAUGAAAGCAGGGGAUCGCAAGACCUUGUGCUACUAGAGCGGCCGAUGGCAGAUUAGGUAGUUGGUGGGAUAAAAGCUUACCAAGCCGACGAUCUGUAGCUGGUCUGAGAGGACGAUCAGCCACACUGGGACUGAGACACGGCCCAGACUCCUACGGGAGGCAGCAGUGGGGAAUUUUGGACAAUGGGCGCAAGCCUGAUCCGGCAAUGCCGCGUGCGGGAUGAAGGCCUUCGGGUUGUAAACUGCUUUUGUACGGAACGAAAAGCCCUGGGUUAAUACCCUGGGGUCAUGACGGUACCGUAAGAAUAAGCACCGGCUAACUACGUGCCAGCCGCCGCAGUAA